GAUGAAGAACGUAGCGAAAUGCGAUAAGUAAUGUGAAUUGCAGAAUUCAAUGAAUCAUCGAAUCUUUGAACGCACCUUGCGCCUUUUGGUAUUCCGAAAGGCACACCUGUUUGAGCGUCAUGAAUACCUCAAUCUCCAUCUUUUCUUCGGAUUGAUGGGUGACUUGGAUGUUGAGCCCUGCUGGUAUGCUAUAUCAGCUGGCUUUAAACUUAUUAGCCGGCUCUGUACUGGAUCGGUUUGACUCGACGUGAUAAUAUUAUCGUUGAGGAUGCAUGUCUCAUGCAGCCGGAAAGUAUCAAAGCAGCUUCUAGCUUGCCUUUAGUGCACUUUUACAUUUUAGACCUCAGAUCAGGUGGGACUACCCGCUGAACUUAAGCAUAUCAAUAAGCGGAGGA
rnacentral:misc_RNA from 1 species